rnacentral:lncRNA from 1 species
UCAGCCAUGUGCUGUUCCAGGGGUCACUGUCAUUCGGGGACGUGGCUGUGGGCUUCACCCGGAAAGAGUGGCAGCAGCUGGACCUGGAGCAGAGGACCCUGUACCAGGAUGUGAUGCUGGAGAACUACAGCCACCUGCUCUCUGUGGGCUGAACUGUCUGCUUGCUUGGAAGGCCCAGCUGGCUCAGCACAAAUCCUUUAACCGUUUCUCCCCAAGAGGGUGUCAAGUCAGCAAACCAGCUGUGAUCUCCAGUUUGGAGCAGGGGAAGGAGCCAUGGAUGGAGGAGGAAGAGAUAAGGACGUGGAGCUUCCCAGAAAGCUGACUUCAUGAGACCGAGGAUCUCGUUCGUUGAUCGAUGCUACAUAUUCAGCAUGUUAGAUAAUGAGGUUGGUGAGAUUGAUGAAAUCCCGCCCACCAGGGCCGACCCACAAAGAGCCACUUUAUGAAGAACAUGCUCCUGAACUCCACUCCACAACCAGCUUUUGAAAAGAAAAAUCUGAAAAAAUUUGACCUCAGUUAAACUGGUCCAAAUGCCUGAGCAUAACCAAAAUCUUUCCUCAUUCACUCUUCACGUGGACCGUGUUUAAUUUGGUUGCUGGUGAUCAUAUUUGUUUUAGUAAAGGCUGUCACUCUAUCUUGGGCGAAGAUUUG